rnacentral:rRNA from 1 species
AAGUCGUGGGGCAGCAUGGGGGUUGCUUGCAACCCCUGAUGGCGACCGGCGCACGGGUGAGUAACGCGUAUGCAACCUGCCUGAUACCGGGGUAUAGCCCAUGGAAACGUGGAUUAACACCCCAUAGUACUUUUAUCCUGCCUGGGAUGGGAGUUAAAUGUUCAAGGUAUCGGAUGGGCAUGCGUCCUAUUAGUUAGUUGGCGGGGUAACAGCCCACCAAGACGAUGAUAGGUAGGGGUUCUGAGAGGAAGGUCCCCACAUUGGAACUGAGACACGGUCCAAACUCC